CAGAUGCUGCAAAACUAGUUGGUGGAGAUCAAGCCUGCUCUGGCUGGCUUCAUCCUCUCACAUGAAAAGCCUAUGGAGAAGAAUUGGGAAGAAGAGUUUGCGUCUUGCUAAGCGAAAUGGCUCAGUGGAGGACUGCUACAACACCUCGUCACUCUGCCACGUAGACGCUGGUCAGCCAGCCUCGGACCAGGAGAGAUUGGAGGUGGAUACCAGUACAGAGUGCUCUAGCGAGGAGCCUCUUGCUGGGCAGCAAGAGGCGGCCGCUACCGGGAAUCGUUCGAUGGAUUCCCUCCGAAAUCCAGUGACAGGGAGCUUUGAUAAGACCAUUUUGGAGGAGGAGGAAGAGGAAGAGGAGGCAGAAGAUGGGGACCAAAGAGAGGCGGAUGGGGCAGAGACCGAGGCACUGGCGCCAGCCACAUCGGUGGAGGACUUGGAUUGUGAAGGCUCUUCCAGCUACUG